UGGCUGAAUCAGGAACUUGAGGCGC
rnacentral:piRNA from 1 species